CCUGUAAACCUCCUUGAGCAUACAAUUGUCUUUGCAUCUUCAAGAGUAUUGUGGGCACACUAUUCCCUCUGGAGUCGUAAGAAAGCUGCAUGGAUUCAGUUGAAACCCCAAAAACAGUUGCACUACAGAUAAGAGGCAAUUAGUCAAUACUAGACAAUAGCUCAGGCUGUUACACUGAGUCAGACAGAAGAAACAAUCUCUACAUCUCUGAAAUACUUGUAAAGACAUAGAAAUACGUCCAAUUAGCUUAGUAAUCUUUCUAUAACAAUACGCAGAUACAAAUUUAUAUCAGCUGAUGAUAUAUUGCACAUACAUAAAUACAAGUUACUUGUGACAUUAGAGAGAAAAUAAAAUCAAAACGAGUCAACAAAAAAUAACACACACAAAAAUAACUACAUCUAUUCUAGUGCAACCUACAUGAAUGAACUCUACGGUAUGAAGGCUGAUGUGGGAGAUGGAUCUGUUAUUAUAUAAGGAUUAGCAGCAGUCAUUUAUCAUCACGAAAUGAAAAAGUCACCCAAUCACCUAUGUCCAUGAAAUAGACAUUUAUUUCACAGCCUCUUGAACAUCGAUAGGUGACUCAACAAAGUGAGAAUGUGUGAAAAACACGGACGAGUACUUGUUGUGGACAUAGUGGUGUUAUCAAGAAGGCAUGGCUCAUUAUUAUCACAAUGCCUCCUUAUUGUAAGCAGAGAAGGAAUUGUAUUUCCCGAACAGACAAAUGAAGAUCCUGUAUGAGCUGGCCAUGAUAUGGGGAGAAAGUGGACAAAGUCGCAAGAUUACAAAUGGUUUACAAGGAAAGACAAUAUUCAAUCUCCGAAGGUGACUUAAAACCAAGGUUUCAGAUAUGAAUUUCAACAGAUUUUACCAAUUUAAUUAUUGCAUAAUCAAAUAAUGCUAAUCCAGCUGCAAAUUAAGAUUUGACCCUAUGGCAUUAAGCAAGUCAGCAAACGAAAAAGACAUCAACAAAAACAAGAAAAACUGUAAAUUAGAUGAAGGUAAUACAGAGAAGUUUCCUCUGAUAUAUUAAUUACGAAGAUGAAGGAAGAUAUGAAGCAAUUACAAUAACUAGAGGAUUUCAAAUUUUAGGGGAGGGGGGUCGAGUGGGAAAGAUGGUGCAACAAUAAUUACAAAUUCAAAUUUGAGCCUGAAGAAGAGCAUGGGAAAUCCAUGCUUUGCCAAAGCUUGCAUUAAAUAAAACUUGUUAAAAAAAAUAAUAAAAAUAAACUCAAAUUUACAUUCUACCAAAAAGGAUAACUGAUGCUGUAUGGAAGCUGGACAUUGAAGCAAAAGAAAUACUAGGGGCCAUAGCAAAGCAAUCAAAUUUUGGUGACAAUUAGGAAUACAAAAUUGAAAUUUGAGAUUGGUUUUGUAAUCCCAACCCCAUUCCUAAACAAUUCAAGACAGACUGAAGAGUCAUCCCAAGUAAUUCAAGAAAAAGACAGACCAAACCAUAAAUCUCAACAAACAUAGAAAGCAAGCAAUUCACCACAAAAACUGCAACAGAAAUCUCAAAAUGUCCCAAAAUGGAAAGCAAAGAAAGUUCCCUUCCAAAACUGAC
rnacentral:misc_RNA from 1 species